rnacentral:lncRNA from 1 species
GAUUAGGGCUCUCCUUUAUCUCCUCCACCCAUCCCCUUCUUCUAUGUGGGGGGGCUUACUUAGUGCUUGUGCUAAGGCGCGGGUUGAUCUCUCGGCCCUUCCCUCGCUUCUUGACUGGCUUGAAGAACUUGGACCCUUGAUUCAUUCAAGCCUUCAAUCUCAAGCAAGCUUUGUUGAAUCCCGGUCUCCGCCUGUUGAAUCCUUCUCUCAACUUCUGAUAGCUCAUAC